UCCUCCCAGGCUGUGGUUGCGGACGGAUGCCGACGGCGCCGUCUUAGUCCAUGACAGACGCGGUCAAAGGGAUCCACGUAAGCGUCCGCGUGCGCGCGGAAGCGAUCAUGGCGCGUCCUAGAAGUAAGCCGUACCGUCCGUUUUAUUCUUAUGGGGCAAUAGGUGCCUCGCGGGCGAGCGGGCUAGUAGUGAUGCCGUCGCGGCGGUUGAGCGAACGUUCCGGUGCGCAAGUGUGGGGUCAAAGAUCAGGUCAGCUGGGAGGA
rfam:Collinsella tanakaei YIT 12063 genomic scaffold supercont1.2, whole genome shotgun sequence.